GCUAAUACCGGAUAAUAUAUUGUAACCGCAUGGUUCAAUAGUGAAAGACGGUUUUGCUGUCACUUAUAGAUGGAUCCGCGCCGCAUUAGCUAGUUGGUAAGGUAACGGCUUACCAAGGCAACGAUGCGUAGCCGACCUGAGAGGGUGAUCGGCCACACUGGAACUGAGACACGGUCCAGACUCCUACGGGAGGCAGCAGAG
rnacentral:rRNA from 1 species